UACGUAGGGUGCAAGCGUUGUCCGGAAUUAUUGGGCGUAAAGAGCUCGUAGGCGGCUCGUCGCGUCGGCUGUGAAAACCUGGGGCUCAACCCCGGGCCUGCAGCCGAUACGGGCGAGCUAGAAUUCGGUAGGGGAGACUGGAAUUCCUGGUGUAGCGGUGAAAUGCGCAGAUAUCAGGAGGAACACCGGUGGCGAAGGCGGGUCUCUGGGCCGAUAUUGACGCUGGAGGAGCGAAAGCGUGGGGAGCGAACAGG
rnacentral:rRNA from 1 species